rnacentral:rRNA from 1 species
GAUAUGGCUCAGGAUGAACGCUAGCUACAGGCUUAACACAUGCAAGUCGAGGGGCAGCAUGAACUUAGCUUGCUAAGUUUGAUGGCGACCGGCGCACGGGUGAGUAACACGUAUCCAACCUGCCGAUGACUCGGGGAUAGCCUUUCGAAAGAAAGAUUAAUACCCAAUGGCAUAGUUCUUCCGCAUGGUGGAACUAUUAAAGAAUUUCGGUCAUCGAUGGGGAUGCGUUCCAUUAGGUUG